CUCAUCCCCCCACGCCUCUAACAAAACCUAUAGCCUGGACGUUACACACUUUACCUAAUCACACAACCAUCUCUGAUGGUCCUGCUCAUGAGAAUGGACCCUGGGUGAGGGCUACUCAGUGAGAGGGCAGGGCCACCCUCAGCUGGAGGAGAUGGGGGCCUCUUUGAAGACUCUGGAGUUGAACUGAACUGGACGGGCUCCACUUGGAGCAGUGACCCCUCACCCAAGAUGACUCCUAGGCAACAUUAACGUUUGAGAAGCCUGCUCAGAUCCACUUUUAAGGAAACGAUUCUGCUACACUGAACUUUUUUGUGUGUCCGACUCUUUGCGACCCCAUGGACUGUAGCCCGCCAGGCUCCU
rnacentral:lncRNA from 1 species